rnacentral:pre_miRNA from 1 species
UGGACAGAUUAUUGAUUCGACUAUAUUCACGGCGUGAAACAGGGGAUUACACUGUUUUUAAACAGAAAGUGAAUCAAUUAACAUAAUAGACUCCU